rnacentral:snoRNA from 1 species
ACGAUCUUACUUGAACAGGAUCUGUUCUAUAGGCUCCUACAUUUGUGUCCUUAAGUUCAAAGGAGACAGGAUUUCAAGUCUGGUUGAUGAACCACGAAUUUGGUGCGGUUAUGCCUUGCUGGUUCACCUACACAGAAGAGGAUCGUUCUCAGCUUAUCUUGUCUGGUUGGGAUGGUCACACAGUUGUCGGACAGACU